GGGGAAAUAGCUCAGUUGGUUAGAGUGCUGGUCUGUCACGCCAGAAGUCGCGGGUUCGAACCCCGUUUUCCCCGC
rnacentral:tRNA from 2 species